rnacentral:rRNA from 1 species
UACAGAGGUCUCAACCGUUGUUCGGAUUCAUUGGGCGUAAAGGGUGCGUAGGCGGUCGCGCAAGUCGGAUGUGAAAGUCUCGGGGCUCAACCCCGAAACUGCAUUCGAUACUGCGUGGCUCGAGUACUGGAGAGGAGACUGGAAUUUACGGUGUAGCAGUGAAAUGCGUAGAUAUCGUAAGGAAGACCAGUGGCGAAGGCGAGUCUCUGGACAGUUACUGACGCUGAGCACGAAGGCCAGGGGAGCAAACGGG